GAGGCACGAAAGCGUGGGGAGCAAACAGGAGUAGAUACCCUGGUAGUCCACGCUGUAAACGAUGAGUACUAGGUGUCGGGGGUUACCCCCUUCGGUGCCGCAGCUAACGCAUUAAGUACUCCGCCGGGGAAGUACGCUCGCAAGAGUGAAACUCAAAGGAAUUGACGGGGACCCGAACAAGUAGCGGAGCAUGUGGUUUAAUUCGAAGCAACGCGAAGAACCUUACCUAAGCUUGACAUCCCAAUGACAUCUCCUUAAUCGGAGAGUUCCCUUCGGGGACAUUGGUGACAGGUGGUGCAUGGU
rnacentral:rRNA from 1 species